AGUUCGGUUUCUAGGAGGUUUUUGCUGAGCUGAAGAUCGCCGUGUGAAUAAUAAUGCAGGCAACACGCUCACAAUUUGGAGGGGGAACAAGGUUACUGGUCAAACCCCAUAUCCAGAACCCCGACCCUGCCGUGUACCUGCUGAGAAGCCCCAAAUCCAGCAACACCUCCGUCUGCUUAUACACCGAUUUUGAAUCUCAAGCCAAUGUGUCACAAGUCACGAGGCCCGUGGUGUUCAGCUCAGACAGCACCGUGCUAGACAUGGGAGCCUUGGGUUCCAAGAGCAACGGGGUCGUGGCUUGGAGCAGCAGGACCGAUUUGGGAUGCGGAGACACCUUCAACCAGACCUUCUACUCCAGCUCAGGAAUUCCCUGUGAUGCCAAGAUAGCAGAGAAAAGCUUUGAAACAGAUAUGAACCUAAACUUCCAAAACUUGUCAGUGAUCGGCUUCCGCGUUCUCCUCCUGAAAGUGGUCGGGUACAACCUGCUCAUGACGCUGCGGCUGUGGUCCAGCUGAGGUCUCCAAGAACGUGAGAGCCCCGUGCUCCCUCUCCCCUUGUUCCUUGUCGCCCCUCCUCUACUCUUCAAGCAGAGAGGUGCACUCUCUGCCCCCGUGGACAAGAAGGCUCCCUCCACCUCUCUGGCCCCACUGGCAAUACCACCAACUGGGUCCUACCAGAUAUUCGUGAUCAAGACGCUGAAGAGCUGCCCAGCACUGCUGCCACCCCCUCUGCUCCCUCACUGCUGCCUGUUACUGCCUGGCAUUCUCAGCAAAGACGGAGGCCGCUGCAGCCUCUCCUGGCUGUGGGGAAACUCCCUCCCUGCCCCGCCCCUCCCCGAGACUGCCUCUGAUGUCCCACUGAAGGAUGGAUCCCAGUGCGUUCUCUUGGGCUCUAGCUCCUGGAGAUGUUGUGUGCUGUUUAUAUUUUUUACACAGUGUUCAUAGAGAAAUACAUAUCACCCUUUUCCCCAAGAUGUGGGGGAGAUUCUCUCAUGAUCUAGGCCCUGCUCUGCUUGUGUAUCUGAGCCACGUUGUCUAUUCUGCUGCCAUGGCUUCAUUAAAAGCAAUGUGGAAGAGCA